rnacentral:lncRNA from 1 species
GGAUGUUAAAGUUAGGUUUCAUUUUGUCUAAUCAAAGUUGUUGGAAGAUAAAUUUAAAUUGGAUACAAAAAUACUCAUACUACUAGUAAUCCGCAGAGUGGUACGCAUCAUGUUAAAUGAAUUUCGCACCUUCCUCCAAGAAUUUUCUAAUUGCUUUAGCUAUUUAUAUAUGAAUAUCUCCCUUGGAACAGGUGAAAGAAGAAGUUGAAUUGGCUCUUGCAAAGCACUAACAGGCAUCAAGUGGUAAACCU